rnacentral:ribozyme from 1 species
GUAGGUAGUUGGUCUGUGAAUGGGGUAGGAUCCGACGCCUCCUGAAGGCUACAUAGGCUCUCCUACCCAACUCCUACUCUGGUAUGUCCUAGCCAUACAGACUGUGCACAUGUAGUCCCGCUUAUCUGAGCUUN